rnacentral:rRNA from 1 species
GUCACCCUACGGGGGGCAGCAGUGGGGAAUAUUGCACAAUGGGGGAAACCCUGAUGCAGCGACGCCGCGUGAGCGAAGAAGUAUCUCGGUAUGUAAAGCUCUCUCAGCAGGGAAGAAAAUGACGGUACCUGACUAAGAAGCCCCGGCUAACUACGUGCCAGCAGCCGCGGUAAUACGUAGGUGGCAAGCGUUAUCCGGAAUGACUGGGCGUAAAGGGUGCGUAGGUGGUUUAGUAAGUUGGCGGUGUAAUUCCGGGGCUCAACCUCGGCGCUACCGCCAAAACUAUUAGACUAGAGUGCAGGUGG